GUCGAGACGGGAUCCAUCCAGUAGCAAUUCUGGUGAAGAUCUAGCGGCGAACGGGUGAGUAACACGUGAGCAACCUGCCCCGAAGUCUGGGAUAACACCGGGAAACCGGUGCUAAUACCGGAUGUCCUCAUCGAGUCACCUGGCUUGAUGAAGAAAGAUUUAUCGCUUCGGGAGGGGCUCGCGGCCUAUCAGCUUGUUGGCGGGGUAACGGCCCACCAAGGCUUCGACGGGUAGCUGGUCUGAGAGGACGACCAGCCACACUGGGACUGAGACACGGCCCAGACUCCUACGGGAGGCAGCAGUGGGGAAUCUUGCGCAAUGGGCGAAAGCCUGACGCAGCAACGCCGCGUGGGGGAUGAAUGCCUUCGGGUUGUAAACCCCUUUCAGCAGGAACGAAAAUGACGGUACCUGCAGAAGAAGCCCCGGCCAACUACGUGCCAGCAGCCGCGGUAAUACGUAGGGGGCAAGCGUUGUCCGGAUUUAUUGGGCGUAAAGAGCUCGUAGGCGGCUUGGCAAGUCGGGUGUGAAAACUUCAGGCUCAACCUGGAGAUGGCACUCGAUACUGCUAUAGCUAGAGUCCGGUAGGGGACCACGGAAUUCCUGGUGUAGCGGUGAGAUGCGCAGAUAUCAGGAGGAACACCGGUGGCGAAGGCGGUGGUCUGGGCCGGCACUGACGCUGAGGAGCGAAAGCGUGGGGAGCAAACCCCGAUUAGAUACCCCUGGUAGUCCACGCCGUAAACGUUGGGCACUAGGUGUGGGGCCUUAUCAACGGGUUCCGUGCCGCAGCUAACGCAUUAAGUGCCCCGCCUGGGGAGUACGGCCGCAGGCUAAAACUCAAAGGAAUUGACGGGGGCCCCGCACAAGCGGCGGAGCAUGUGGCUUAAUUCGAGGCAACGCGAAGAACCUUACCUGGGUUUGAACUACCG
rnacentral:rRNA from 1 species